rnacentral:rRNA from 1 species
UACGGAGGGGGCUAGCGUUGUUCGGAAUUACUGGGCGUAAAGCGCACGUAGGCGGAUCGAUCAGUCAGGGGUGAAAUCCCAGAGCUCAACUCUGGAACUGCCUUUGAUACUGUCGAUCUAGAGUAUGGAAGAGGUGAGUGGAAUUCCGAGUGUAGAGGUGAAAUUCGUAGAUAUUCGGAGGAACACCAGUGGCGAAGGCGGCUCACUGGUCCAUUACUGACGCUGAGGUGCGAAAGCGUGGGGAGCAAACAGG